CUGCCUGACACUGCCUGGAUGGCCUGGAACCAGGGCCUGGAAAGCCCAGAGACCUAGGAUGGAGCCAAGUCAAUGAAAUGACUCCCGAUAUUUUGCUGUACUCAUAGAUGGGUGCCUAGCCCAAUUGUCACCAGAGAGGCUUCCUCCAACAUCAGCCUCCCCAAUUCCGGGAUGACAAACCCGGAUCACCAGGCCUGAUGAGAAUGGCUUUGCCUCAGCACCACGCCUGCUUGCCUGCCUCUGCACUUCCUGCCGAGACGGUCACAGACUCACCCUCUGACAACUGCAAGCCCCACACAAACUCUUCUGCACCUGCUCCUCCAUUAGUCGUCCAGAAGCCAGGGAGAUGGAGACAAUACAGAAGCUGUGUGGCCGGGCGGGGCGUUGGUGGCGCACACCUUUAAUCCCAACACUCGGGAGGCAGAGGCAGGUGGAUCUCUGGCAGGAGAGGAGGGGGCCCCAGCGGAGCCCAGAGGAGGUGUGAGCCUGCUAGGCAGGGCGAGCAAAGGUGUGCACACUCCCGUCACGACGGCAAAGCCAACGAGGUGCAACAAGGUGGCCCUGACCGUUCUCGUUCUGGAGAAAUCUGAGUCACCACCACGGAUGGAAGUCACCCUGCUAAGGUCACGGAAAGGCCCUGUGACAGGGAGAUAGGCACAUGCAAAGAGUCUGCCCAGGGCUUCCUGCUGGGGCUGCUGCCCAG
rnacentral:lncRNA from 1 species